AGAGUUUGAUCAUGGCUCAGAGCGAACGCUGGCGGCAUGCUUAACACAUGCAAGUCGCACGGUUGGGGGUGACCCUGGCAGUGGCGGACGGGUGAGUAACGCGUAGGGAUCUGUCCACGGGUGGGGGACAACCACGGGAAACUGUGGCUAAUACCGCAUGACACCUGAGGGUUAAAGGCGCGAGUCGCCUGUGGAGGAGC
rnacentral:rRNA from 1 species